CAAUAGCGUAUAUUUAAGUUGUUGCUGUUAAAAAGCUCGUAGUUGGAUUUCGGUUAAGAGCGACCGGUCCGCCGUUUGGUGUGCACUGGUUGGUUUUAACUUCCUGUAGAGGACGUGCUCUGGGUUUAACGACCUGGACUCGGAGUCUACGUGGUUACUUUGAAAAAAUUAGAGUGUUCAAAGCGGGCUUACGCUUGAAUAUUUCAGCAUGGAAUAACACUAUAGGACUCCUGUCCUAUUUCGUUGGUCUCGGGACGGGAGUAAUGAUUAAGAGGAACAGUUGGGGGCAUUCGUAUUUCAUUGUCAGAGGUGAAAUUCUUGGAUUUAUGAAAGACGAACUUCUGCGAAAGCAUUUGCCAAGGAUGUUUUCAUUAA
rnacentral:rRNA from 1 species